AGAAAUAUUCAUGUACCUCCGUGAUAGAGAUCCAGCCCCAAGACAGGGAAAUUAUUACUGUCCGUGCUAUUUUAAUGCGCUGGAUAAAGUUUUAUCGUUGAAAUCCUACAUCUGAUUGAGGAGUUCCUAAACACUGUCAACUAAAGGAUGUCUUUCCUUCCCCAGGUUCUACUCUCUCUCCCUUGUAUUACGCCCCAAGACCUGUUUGCUUUUGAAGAAGCUUUAACAAAAACAUCCAGUCCCAAGGAACAAAAACAGCACAUGAAGAGCUUGCUUUUAUUAGCUGCUGGAAACAAGUUGAAGGCACUUG
rnacentral:misc_RNA from 1 species